rnacentral:rRNA from 1 species
GACGAACGCUGGCGGCAUGCCUAACACAUGCAAGUCGAACGAGACCUUCGGGUCUAGUGGCGCACGGGUGCGUAACGCGUGGGAAUCUGCCCUGGGGUACGGAAUAACAGUGAGAAAUUACUGCUAAUACCGUAUGAUGACGUAAGUCCAAAGAUUUAUCGCCCUGGGAUGAGCCCGCGUAGGAUUAGCUUGUUGGUGAGGUAAAAGCUCACCAAGGCGACGAUCCUUAGCUGGUCUGAGAGGAUGAUCAGCCACACUGGGACUGAGACACGGCCCAGACUCCUACGGGAGGCAGCAGUGGGGAAUAUUGGACAAUGGGCGAAAGCCUGAUCCAGCAAUGCCGCGUGAGUGAUGAAGGCCUUAGGGUUGUAAAGCUCUUUUACCCGGGAAGAUAAUGACUGUACCGGGAGAAUAAGCCCCGGCUAACCUCCGUGCCAGCAGCCGCGGUAAU